rnacentral:rRNA from 1 species
GAUGAACGCUGGCGGCGUGCCUAAUACAUGCAAGUCGAGCGAACAGACGAGGAGCUUGCUCCUCUGACGUUAGCGGCGGACGGGUGAGUAACACGUGGAUAACCUACCUAUAAGACUGGGAUAACUUCGGGAAACCGGAGCUAAUACCGGAUAAUAUAUUGAACCGCAUGGUUCAAUAGUGAAAGACGGUUUUGCUGUCACUUAUAGAUGGAUCCGCGCCGCAUUAGCUAGUUGGUAAGGUAACGGCUUACCAAGGCAACGAUGCGUAGCCGACCUGAGAGGGGGAAGGGGGAAAUAGGAAAUAGCAGACGGUGCAGGAAGGUAGGGGGGGCAGAGGUAGGGGGUUGUGCGCAGUGGGCGAAAUGGUAACGGUGGAACGGAAGGGGAGAUGAGAAGGGCCUGUGAUUGGAAAAGUCUGGUAGUAGGGAAAAACAAAUGUGUAAGUAACUAAGGGCGGCGUGGCGGUACCGAAACAGAAAGACCAGGCUAACCACCU